rnacentral:rRNA from 1 species
CGGCCUGAGAGGGCGACCGGCCACACUGGGACUGAGACACGGCCCAGACUCCUACGGGAGGCAGCAGUGGGGAAUAUUGCACAAUGGGCGGAAGCCUGAUGCAGCGACGCCGCGUGAGGGAUGACGGCCUUCGGGUUGUAAACCUCUUUCAGCAGGGACGAAGCGUAAGUGACGGUACCUGCAGAAGAAGCGCCGGCCAACUACGUGCCAGCAGCCGCGGUAAGACGUAGGGCGCGAGCGUUGUCCGGAUUUAUUGGGCGUAAAGAGCUCGUAGGCGGCUUGUCGCGUCGACUGUGAAAACCCGCAGCUCAACUGCGGGCCUGCAGUCGAUACGGGCAGGCUAGAGUUCGGUAGGGGAGACUGGAAUUCCUGGUGUAGCGGUGAAAUGCGCAGAUAUCAGGAGGAACACCGGUGGCGAAGGCGGGUCUCUGGGCCGAUACUGACGCUGAGGAGCGAAAGCGUGGGGAGCGAACAGGAUUAGAUACCCUGGUAGUCCACGCUGUAAACGUUGGGCGCUAGGUGUGGGGGGCCUCUCCGGUUCCCUGUGCCGCAGCUAACGCAUUAAGCGC